UGAUGGCAAAUGAUGAAUCUUUUUAACAAAUGGGUAGUUUGCAACUGAUAUAUCAUUGAUGUCAAAUCACCUUGGAGAUCUGAUGCCACUU